AUUGAACGCUGGCGGCAUGCUUUACACAUGCAAGUCGAACGGCAGCGCGGGCUUCGGCCUGGCGGCGAGUGGCGAACGGGUGAGUAAUACAUCGGAACGUGCCCAGUAGUGGGGGAUAGCUCGGCGAAAGCCGGAUUAAUACCGCAUACGACCUGAGGGUGAAAGCGGGGGAUCUUCGGACCUCGCGCUAUUGGAGCGGCCGAUGGCAGAUUAGCUAGUUGGUGGGGUAAAGGCCUACCAAGGCGACGAUCUGUAGCUGGUCUGAGAGGACGACCAGCCACACUGGAAGUGAGACACGGUCCAGAAUCCUACGGGAGGGAGCAGUGGGGAAUAUUGGACAAUGGGCGAAAGCCUGAUCCAGCCAUGCGGCGUGUGUGAAGAAGGUCUUCGGAUUGUAAAGCACUUUAAGUUGGGAGGAAGGGCAGUAAGUUAAUAACUUGCUGUUAUGACGUUACCAACAGAAUAAGCACCGGCUAACUUCGUG
rnacentral:rRNA from 1 species